CCAUGCCUUCCUUGCUUUCUUCCACCACAUAUAUACACUAAAAUUGGAAUGAUGAUGAGAAGAUUAGCAUGCUCCCCUCAAAAUAAUGACAUGCAAGUUUGUGAAGUUUUCCAUAAACAA
rnacentral:snRNA from 1 species